rnacentral:lncRNA from 10 species
GCCUCCUCCUCCAUAGUCAUGCCAACUAUCAGGAACCUCUCCAUAGUUUUGUCCUGUCAGUUUCCUGUUACUAAAAGCCAGGGGCUUAUCCAUGUUUCAGGUCAUGCUUGUUUGGUGUUACUAGCAUGUCUUUUUCCGAUUAUUUACUGUUUUCCCUCUGUACCUUGAAUGGCUUUGUGUAGAACUCAGAAAUACAACACAUAGUAUUUUCUUGGCACCUGGUUUCCUCAUCUUUUGCACGAAAGUGGCUGGAACUGAUGUGCUUGUUUGGAGUUGGUCUCUGUUAAAAUAAAUUUCUCAGUCUCUGAUAAAUAAAAAAUUAUUUUACCUUAUUUCCCCCUUUAAUUAGAUUCUGCCCUAAUGGUUUCUUUUUUUUCAGAAACAAUUUUACUUUUCUUUCACCAAAGAAAGUACAAACCUGAUGAAGGAAAAUUCAUGCCUUGUUAGUCUUCCAAUUCCCCUUCCCUCUCCCUAGUCUCUAGCACAGUGACAAUCACAUGGUGGACACCUGACAAACAUUUACCAAAUGCUAACCAAUGGGAUCAAUGCAGAGUUCAUCUGGAAUUUCUCACCAUGCAGGGUAUUUCUCUUAGUUGGAUGGAAGAAUCUUUAUUUUAUUCUUACUGUUGAUUCCCCUGUACUUGGAACAUAUGCCAUUUCAGAACUCAGUGGUUGUAUUACUGAAUAUCUUUUAACUGUAGAAAUCAAAGGGCCCUUAGUGGCUUUAUAGCCUAAAUGCUGAAUUAAGUUUUCAUUAGGAAAUGAAUAUUGGGUUAUAUUACAUUUUGAG